UCAUGGAUUUUGAUUUACAGCUGGCCCAAGGUCUGGGACUCUUGUAGUGUCCCACAGUAGAGUGGACUUUGGCCUCAAAACUUUGCCUUGCUUGUUUCCAUGGGUGGCUGAGAUUGAAGAGUUUUGCACAGUG
rnacentral:snoRNA from 1 species